CAAACACAACAGAGACUGAAAGUAUAGUGUCCUCUAGCCCUGAAAGCCUGACAAGUUCGAGUGAAGGAGAAUCUAUAGCUUGUUCCCCUGAAGCUAAUCGUCCCUCAGGCCAGAUAGAACACCCAGAGAUUGACCACAGAAUGCCCUGGGACCCCUAGCAUAGAUGCUGAUGGGAGACAAGGGCUGACAACUGCUGAUCACCAGACGCAACUGCAUAGGACCCCACGUUUUUUAGCUGUAAAUCUCUAAAAUGAGUGAGAAUUGGUGGAGUUGUUAAAGUAUUUCCAUUUCA